CCCUUUCACUCUCCAUCCUUCUUUCAGCUGCCUGCAGGCCUGCCCCCCCCCCCCCCCCCACGCACAUGCCCGUCUGAUCAACGCAUUUACGAUGUGUUGUGACAUAGUGUGACAUAGGCUGCUUGUGUCUUUGGUGUUCAGACACGUCUUGAUCACGCACGCCGCGCAUGUUCCGACGCUGCGGUUCUCCUAGGGACCAAAACAACCAAACGAAUGAUGUAAUGAAACAAUUUUAUGUACACAAGUAUAAAAAGUAAUAGUCCAAUAUCAGUUUUACAAAAGUAAUGUGACUAUGAUUCAUAAGGAUUUGUAUUUAUAUAUUUAAUGGGAAUGUCUCUGUUUAUGACACGGCAACUGAAACACACGCUGCACACCUGCUUGUUAUUCCUCUCUAAAGUAAACACACCAGGCCCUUAGGUCCCCCCCCCCUCAGUUUCCACCAUGUUCUCCCGUGUGUUUGUCUGCUGUUGUUUAGUGGUUCUCAGCGUGACCCCACACACGACCACACGCAUGUUCAAAGAGGGGGGCAGGUGCCACCGAUGACAGGAUCCCGGUUGAAAGGUAAAUGGGAGGUCUGCACGGGAGUCACUGGGAAUGUCUGAAAACACAACAUCUGGAGCGAACUAAGUGCAUCCCAAUCUGAUCAAUAUCUGUGGAGUCGAGGCGGGUUUGGAUCAGAAGCUCCGUGAGCGUGUAAGUUAUUUCUGAAACCACUUCUGAGCCAGCACGGUCCUGGAGCAACGGAAAAAUCCCUCAUUUACACUCAGGCACCCAUCAUGUCUAUCAACCACUGACGAUACCCCCCCCCCCCCCCCCCCCCCACACACACACACACACACACACACACACCUAAAUGACUGAAGAUUUGUUACACGGGCUCUGGGAUUAAAUCAGAAAGCUACAAUUAGCCACUCUAAACACUGAGGGAGUGUAGCAACUAGCCUCCUGCCUCCGCUGAGUCCCCUCACAUGGAAAACAUAAGUGACGUAGCGCCUAAAUGCUGUGAUAACAUUUGAAGACAAGGUGGGGGGGGGGGGCAGUGCAGGGGUAUGUGCCUUAAUGCAUCCUCUGGGUGUUGAGGAGGACAAAUAAGAGGAGGAAGAGCCGGCUCUGCUCAGUACUUCCCAAACAGAAG
rnacentral:lncRNA from 1 species